rnacentral:rRNA from 1 species
UACGGGGGGGGCAAGCGUUGUUCGGAAUUACUGGGCGUAAAGGGCUCGUAGGGGGCCAACUAAGUCGGACGUGAAAUCCCUCGGCUUAACCGGGGAACUGCGUCUGAUACUGGAUGGCUUGAGUUCGGGAGAGGGAUGCGGAAUUCCAGGUGUAGCGGUGAAAUGCGUAGAUAUCUGGAGGAACACCGGUGGCGAAGGCGGCAUCCUGGACCGACACUGACGCUGAUGCGCGAAAGCCAGGGGAGCGAACGGG